rnacentral:rRNA from 1 species
ACCCUUAGAUGUUCUGGGCCGCACGCGCGCUACACUGAUGAAUGCAACGAGCUCUACCCUUGACCGAAAGGCCCGGGUAAACUUGUGAAACUUCAUCGUGAUGGGGAUAGAUUAUUGCAAUUAUUAAUCUUCAACGAGGGAUUCCUAGUAAGCGCGAGUCAUCAGCUCGCGUUGAUUACGUCCCUGCCCUUUGUACACACCGCCCGUCGCUCCUACCGAUUGAAUGGUCCGGUGAAAUCUUCGGAUUGCUGACCAAGAUCCAGCAAUGGAGCUUGGUUGCGAGAAGUUGAUUAAACCUUAUUAUUUAGAGGAAGGAGAAGUCGUAACA